AGAACGAACGCUGGCGGCAUGCCUAAUACAUGCAAGUCGAACGAACACUUCGGUGUUAGUGGCGCACGGGUGCGUAACGCGUGGGAAUCUGCCCUUGGGUUCGGAAUAACAGUUGGAAACGACUGCUAAUACCGGAUGAUAUCGAAAGAUCAAAGGUUUAUCGCCCAGGGAUGAGCCCGCGUAGGAUUAGCUAGUUGGUGAGGUAAAGGCUCACCAAGGCGACGAUCCUUAGCUGGUCUGAGAGGAUGAUCAGCCACACGUGGGACUGAGACACGGCCCAGACUCCUACGGGAGCAGCAGUAGGGAAUAGUGGACAAUGGGCACAAGCCUGAUCCAGCAAUGCCGCGUGAGUGA
rnacentral:rRNA from 1 species